GAGCUGGAUCAGUCCCAGGAUCUUGGAGCGGCUGAACACCUCCCGGGCCGCGGAGGCUCCUUGCUUUUCACAUCGCGCCACCGCGAGAUAACCAGUGCUUCCCUCCGGCGGCUGCCUGGCUCUGCCAGACAAGGUGACUGCGGUAAGCGUUACCCUUUGGACGCCUCCUGCCCAUCAGCCUGUUGCCCCAACAUCAUCUUGGUGAGAGACAGGGCCAAAAAGGCUGCCUAAAGGUGUGGUUGUGGUGCUAGCUGCGACCCUGCAGAAGUAGUACUGCGUUCGAGUUUCUGAAAUAGGGAUAACGAAAUGGCACGUGAGUUAAGAACUUGGCAUUUGAAUAAAUGUGUAGCAGAUGGCCUCCCUUGAUAGCAGAUUGAAGCGGUGGCAGACCAGGUCUCUGUACACCUUAAUAAUAUGGGAGAAGUUUGAAGUUGUCUUGUACCCCAAGACCUAUGCAUAUUCUCUGAAGAAAGAACAGCCCAGAAUUACCCGAAGCACUUUCAGCUUGCAUGUCAGCUCCAGAGCCCUUCUUGCUAACUUCAGGGCCUCUCCCUCUCCCAGUGAUGCAUGCUUCCUAACAGUAUAACCUUGUAGGGUCCUCUACCCUGGAAUCCACACCGGACCCUUGACUCCAUUGAGCCAGUACAAGAAUGUGGAGAAGACAUACUGUAUCAGUUCCAGCUCUAACCUUAACUUUUUAUUAUUUGUUAGUUUUUGGUUUUUGUUUCCCUGAGAUGCUCCUGCUCUUCCACCUUGGAAAGAUUCAUGCAGAAGCCACAUGGAGAGGAAAGACCCCCGGGCAUGAACCUGGUGAGCCCUUCCUAAUUGGAAGGAGAGAGUAUGAACUCAGUCCUCCACUACCACAAAUUAUGCAUUUAAGUUUCCUAUUUGAGGAAGUCACAGGGGUCAUCACAUCUAGAGUAUAGUGAAUGAACUUCCCAAUGGAAAACCACCUUCAGGAAUCAUGGGUUCUCCCCUGCCAGAAGUUCGUGGGGAAAAAAAGAAGUUCAUGGAUAGUCAUUCUGAUCCAUCCACUAUAAAGUUUCCUGUCAGUCUUUCACCAAAUGUUUUCAGCAGCAAAGAUAAUGAUCAUAGAUCUGUAUCAUCCAAUAAAGUAG